GACGAACGCUGGCGGCGUGCUUAACACAUGCAAGUCGAACGGAAAGGCCCUGCUUGCAGGGUGCUCGAGUGGCGAACGGGUGAGUAACACGUGGGUGAUCUGCCCCUUACUUUGGGAUAAGCCUGGGAAACUGGGUCUAAUACUGGAUAGGACCAUGCUGUAGGUGGUGUGGUGGAAAGAUUAGUUUCGGUAAGGGGUGAGCUCGCGGCCUAUCAGCUUGUUGGUGGGGUAAUGGCCUACCAAGGCGUCGACGGGUAGCCGGCCUGAGAGGGUGGACGGCCACAUUGGGACUGAGAUACGGCCCAGACUCCUACGGGAGGCAGCAGUGGGGAAUAGUGCACAAUGGGCGCAAGCCUGAUGCAGCGACGCUGCGUGGGGGAUGACGGCCUUCGGGUUGUAAACUCCUUUCAGCCAUGACGAAGCCCUUGUGGUGACGGUAGUGGUAGAAGAAGCACCGGCUAACUACGUG
rnacentral:rRNA from 1 species